rnacentral:snoRNA from 15 species
UGAUGUGGUAGUUUUCUUUCUGGUCCAUUUGUGAAGUAUCAAAUUGGCCUGAUUCUACCACAUAGAUUAUGCAGGAGCAAGCAGUCUUGGGGAUGGUCAGGCCUCAUCUGAGCCUUUCCCCCUUCAGGUAUUGCUUUAGCUCCUACAUGC